UACAGAGGGUGCGAGCGUUGUCCGGAAUCACUGGGCGUAAAGGGCGCGUAGGCGGCCUGAUAAGUCGGGGGUGAAAUCCCUGGGCUCAACCCAGGAACUGCGUCCGAUACUGGCAGGCUUGAAUCCGGGAGAGGGAUGUGGAAUUCCAGGUGUAGCGGUGAAAUGCGUAGAUAUCUGGAGGAACACCGGUGGCGAAGGCGGCAUCCUGGACCGGUAUUGACGCUGAGGCGCGAAAGCCAGGGGAGCAAACGGG
rnacentral:rRNA from 1 species